ensembl:lncRNA
AACAGGGCCAAGGUUAGCAGGAGAGGCAAGGACAGAAGUGAGAGAUAACAUAGUAUUAUGAAAAUAGGGAGCCACAAGACAAGACCUGCAGUCAGCUUGUAGAAGCUGAAAAAAGUCAAGAAAGGGAAUGGUCCCAGAAUGUCCUGAGGGAAACAGCUUUGCUGAUACAUUGACCUCAUCACAGUGAGCCUGGAGUUGGAUGCCAGAUCUACAGGACUAGAAAAUUAAUAAAUAUGUCUCAAGUGUUUGAGACUACAACACAUCAUUAUACAAUAAAGCUCUUCAACUUAUUCCUACAGGAGGAAUAAAAGGCAAGCGGGUCCUGGCCCUUGCACUGCAGUUGAGGGAAUCUGAGGGCAGCAUGCAGGCACCAGCACCGAGGGAAGCUUUGGGCCUAGGCCGCAGUGAUUUUGAACUGGAAAUGGCUACAGCACAGCCUGUGUAGACGAGACAGCUUACUGAAAAGCUGAAUGAAAAUUGUGAACAAGCCGAUCUGUUUGUGAUCUUUCAACAUGGCUGCACAGCAACUCUGCAAAUGCUAGAAGAAAAAAACAAAAAGUAAAAGAACUGUAUGUUUGUCAUCAAUUUAAUGUAAAAAUUUAAAACAUAUUUCAGAAUCUUCCCAAGAAGUGCUAAUGUCACCAUGUCAAAUUGUAGUUAUUUAACCUAAAGGAUUUUUUAUUAUUAUAAAAAAUUAGACAUCCAGAUGAAGGUAGAAUGAAUAUUAUAAAUUUAACAGAUCAUAUUGCAUGAAUGAAAUGCACUCUAAUUUGUGAAGUGCUGUUAUACCUAUUAUAUCACUCAAUCCUGGUAGUAAUCCUAAUGAAAUAUGAGUUCAAACAGGUGUUGAUAUCUCAUAAAUGCUGCAGUAAUGAAGACAGAGGCUCAGAUGGGUUAAAUUAUUACGGAGUCACCCGAGCCCCUGGACCUAUGUAAUAACCCAGUGCCGUUUCCCUUCAGUAUUUACAAGAACUCCUACCUUUCCAAAUGCACAUCAUUUAGCUCUAGUACAGGCACCACGAGCAGAGGGUAUAAUUUCCAUUUCUGUCUUCUGCAGUCAAGCAGAAGUUCCUCUCCUUUGUGCACCGAUAGGAGUGCCGUGGAUCACUGGGCCUUGGAGAAGGGAGGCCUUAAGUGUGCUCCAUUUGCACGAUUGUCCUGCAGCACUUGUGGAUGACUGCACAGCCUUCUAAAGUAUGGGAAGCUAAGACCUCUGGCCAGGGAACUGUCUGAAAAUCUCCUUCAAAAACAAUGCUUGAGGGCCGGGGAUUUAGCUCAGUGGCACAGAGCCUGCCUCACAAGUGCAAGGUCCUAAGUUUGAUCUACAGUACAAAAAAAAAAAAAAAAAAAAAGUGCCUGAUCUGGAAGACACAGUCCUCCUGGGUAGGGAUUUGGCAUUGGAUGGUUGUUGGGCAAGACAGUCAGGACCAUGGUCAGCGUAUUGGACCCCAAAGAGAUAGGGCUAGUGUUCAAGGUGAGAAAGUCUUCACGCUUGAAAGAAAGACAGCCAUUUUCACAUUUGGGAUAAUAAAAGAAAUAAGUAGAAUUUUAAAGGUUAUGUAAGUGAAAAAGUUAACGUAUUAAAAUAGUAUAAGGAAUAAAGAACUAAAAAAAUUAAAACCAAAAAUAGCUGAAAUACAAAUGAUAUAAAGAAUAUUCAUAUUCACAUAAACCAAAUGUUGUUAUUGAUUUGGAUAUUUUCUUUUUUGGUACUGGGGAUCGAGCUCGAGUCCUUGCACUUGCGCAGCAGGCGGUGAAACCACUGAGCUAAAUCCCCAGCCUCGAUAUUUUCAUUUUUUGAAAAGCUAAUUUCUGUUGUUUCACAUUAGCAAAUAAAAGCUGCCAGGU